AUGCUAUUCAUCAUGACAAUCUUAGGCGAUGUUCUGCAAAAAUUGAGGCACUAUACCGACUAAAUGUUCAGGCUUUCUCCAAACAGCAGAGAUUCAAGGUGAUUAAUAGUCAAAUACAACUUCUCUCCAUUCGUGUCUAAAGAGAAGGUAUCAGUGAUGGUCGGCCUGGUGAUGAGGGCAUCAAGACAAAGAGAUUAAUUCGCAACUCUGUUCUUGAUUGGUUUUUACAAAUACACAAGGUACAUCAUAUGUCUGGAAAAGAUACGCUGCAGAACAUUCUCCAGAAAAUGCAAUUUAUUGGGCCUUAGGCGAUGCAACUUUAAAUCCGAAGAGAAUUCUCCAGAAAACAAACAAAUAUUAUUGCGGCUUGGACUAUGAGCUAAGUGAUAUGGAAGACAUUUGUACUUUUGCCAAUGACCGCCAACCGAGCACACCUAUCAUGAAGAGUUGCUUGGAUGAUUAGGUGAUCUCCGAUACUAAUGGAACAUGCAGCGAUGACUCUACCUGAUGUGAUGACUGGAUGUUUUUGUCCUAUCUACCAGCAGAAGAUAAAAAGCUCAACCACACCAAGGCUAUCUAUAUGAUAUAGCUACUUAUUUAGCUUCAUUUUUAAUGCCAAUAUAAAUAAGCAAUCAUGAACUGCCUUCAUAACUUUCUUCUGGGCUAUCAUACUACCAUGCACUGUAAUAUAUACCACUAUGUAUGAAGAUGCUAUCUAAGACUCUUGAGUAUCUACUUCCUUA